GAGGAAUUUUGCGCAAUGGGGGAAACCCUGACGCAGCAACGCCGCGUGAGUGAAGAAGGCUUUCGGGUCGUAAAGCUCUGUCAAGAGGGAAGAAAGUGGGAGAUGGUAAUACUGUUUUCUAUUGACGGUACCUCUGAAGGAAGCACCGGCUAACUCCGUGCCAGCAGCCGCGGUAAUACGGGGGGUGCAAGCGUUAUUCGGAUUUAUUGGGCGUAAAGAGCGCGUAGGCGGUUUAUCAAGUCAGAUGUGAAAGCCCUGGGCUCAACCUGGGAAGUGCAUUUGAAACUAGUAGACUUGAGUAUGGGAGAGGGGAGUGGAAUUCCUGGUGUAGAGGUGAAAUUCGUAGAUAUCAGGAGGAACACCGGUGGCGAAGGCGACUUCCUGGACCAAUACUGACGCUGAGGCGCGAAGGCGUGGGGAGCAAAC
rnacentral:rRNA from 1 species